AUCCGGUCCUAGCAGAGCCAACAUCUGAGAAAGAUAUAUGCAAGGUCAGACAGAUAGCUAACCUGCCUUUCAGAAAGUUCUUCCUCCUCCUGGCUGUUUCAUUAGUUUGUGAGCUAAGGACAGUGGGACAGAGCCAGAAGUGAUGCUGACAUGACAAAAUGGGGAAGUCUUUCAUACAUGGAUGAGGAGAAAUGGACGAGGAAAAAUCUUCUUUAAGUUUUGAAUAGAAGAGUCUUUCAAGAUGUGGCCAUGGGAAAAGCCAAGGCAGUCCAAAAGAAUGUGAAUUUGUGGGUGGCCUGUUCCUCUGUGGGCACCUACUGGAUACUUUUCUUCAUGAAACUGAUCCUAUGGAAUAGGUGGGGUGCUUUUUCUGUUUUAAAGCAUCUGCAACUGGCGUAUUGCUGCUCUGUAUGGC